AAUUAUCCAGUUCCUCUCUGCCACACACUCACCAGGCGUGGAAAGUGCGGGCGACGCUGAGAUGGAGCGACUUCAAAAAGGACUCUGACCUCCGUGGCCUGUUCCUUGUUUUCUGUUUUACUUUCUUCAGGCUCAGUACAACGAGAGUCCGCCAGUACGAGAAAAGCAGUGUACAGUUAAGUUUUUCCUCGGGUCUCAAUGAGUUAAACGCAUGCAUUAUCUCGUUUGCUGCGAUAGAUUUAUUUUAAUCUCCCAUCAUGCAUUAGCUCCUACAACCCUUUGACGCCAAGAGUCGCCUCUGAAGACAUACAGUGACAAUGAGAAGCCUUGUGAUGUUUUGAGGAUUCAUGGGGAUAUGAAUUAUGAAUUGAAGACAUCCUAGUUGGCAGGACAUUCACAUGGAUUUAACUGUUUUAAAGAGAACAAGCGACAGGCAAUUAGCAUAUUCACAACAUUGUCAAACAGGGCUCUAUUUAGUUCCAAAAUAUUUUCACCACCUCCAAAUAAAAUUAUAGAGCCAUCAAAGAGUUGAUCCUCACUGCUUCUUGUACCAGUUCCAUGGCUUUAACAGUCCAGGACAUUUCACAAGAGUGGCAUCCGGGCCUUUUCCUGUCCUGAUUCACGGACACAGCAAGUGCUCUUGAGAUUCCUUUGUGAUGCAGAACGUUUCUGCAUUUCGUUGUUUUAUACAGUGCUGUGGUUUAAAUCCAAGGUGUCCCUUAUGAGCCCCCAGUUAGACACUCUGGUCUUUAGCAGCUGCUGAUGUGUUUAGAAGGUAGGGCUAGCUAAGGAAUCAUUUUGAAGGCUGUAUCUGUUAGCCAUUGACUUGCCUCCUGCCCACCAGGGUGUGAGUAGCCUCUGCCCAUGUGAUCCCGCUGUCAAGAUGGUCUGCCUAGCCCAGGUACUAUAGGGAGCCCUUGGAAACAGUGAGCACAACAAAUCCUCCCUCCCUCAAAUUUGUAUGUCACAUAACUUGCCACGGUAUGCCACACUUCACUAUUAAGCAUCACCAAGCAACACAAGCAUACUUAGCCCUCUAUAGGUGUUAAGUUGCCGACUCAGUCAACCAAAGAGGGAACAAUAUAUGAAAGAUACAUCAGCCUUCUUUUACUGUCCGGCUUUCUGAACAAUGCACUGCAGUGAUUUCAUCAGCAUUUACCUUGUGUUAUGGAUUACAAAUCAUCUUCACGUGUUCUGGAAGCCUUCCUCAAGGACACCAGGGGAUGGACAAAGCAUAGUUUGCAUUUCUAAUUUGUUUUCAGCUUUGGGCCCCAUUUGUUUCCAUGACUAACCCAAGACUACCAGCCCAGGGAUGGCACCACCCACAAUGGACCCUCCCCUCAUGAUCACUAAUUGAGAAAAUGUCUUAGAGCUGGAUCUCAUGGAAGCAUUUCCUUACCUGAAGCUCCUUUCUCUGUGAUUACUCCAGCUGUGUCAAGUUGACACACAGAACCAGCCAGUACAGUCUUCUUGUAGGAACCAGCCAAAUAAAUGUACCUCUUUGUCUGCCUGGGAAGCCCAGUGUCCUGUCUGGACAGGGGACUCAAAACUGCAUCUCUGCUGCAGGGGUCCUGAGUCUUCCCGCCACUGUGCUUCCUGGCUCGUGCGUUGCUCUCUGCUCAAACAAGAACAGUUUAAAUUACUUUGCCUCAGGUUUUCUGUCUUGCCACAUAUCAUACAUCCAAGACUCUGUGGCUCUCAUACAAGCUACAGUUAGAAUGUUUAUGAAGUGAUGCUUCAGUCUCAAAACCCAGGCCAUUCUCCCACUUAGUGCUGCAGAGAAGACAUUUCACACCAACCUCCUCUUUUUCCUUUUUAGGCAGUCUGUUUUUGUUUGGAUUUUACUGUUGCUAUUUCCUCCCUCCCAUCUGUUUUAUCUUUGAAAUUAGGAAAAUACUGGAUAGAAGUGUGACUCACUUCUACCUAGCAGUAAGGAAGCCAUUUGCCUUUGAAUACAUUAGUUUAAUUCUUUCUCUGGUUACUCCUUCUGUUACAGUUUUUGUUUGGUAAUUAUGUAUAUUAUAAGACAUACAAAUAACAUGUUGGAUUAGCUUUAUGUCAUAGCUAAGCUAUGCUGCAGUUAUACAAACUUCCAAAGUUUCAGUGGCUUGAAUUUUUACAUCUUGCUCAAGCGAUGCCUGGUGUGUUUGGGGAUGAUUGAGGAUUUCCCAGAUUGCUUCAAUUUGGGGGUUUUGGUAUGGCAACAUGCGUCUUCCAAGGUGGCUUCUGGAAUGAAGUAAGGAUCCCGAGACCUUUCUCUGGCCCAUCAGUCCUUCAGUGUAAUUGUUUUGCUCACUCCCAGCAGCGGCUACGAGCCACACCCUCGAGGCACAUGACAUCUGAUGACCUGCACAAUAGGCUGCUAUAAAAUCACAGGCGCGAAUUGAUUCUGAAGACAGAUUACCCCUUUUGACAAACUGAAGAUUCUUUUCAAAGAGAAUUGAUUCAACGUUUUAGGUUCCCUUCUGGCCUCAGUGUCACACUCCUUCUGCUCAGAUGUGGAAAUGGAAGCUCACCUUUCCUCAUUAUUGAAAGUUGGAAUGAGUUUUAUCACCAUGAACCAAGUGGAUUUCCUUUGAGUCAUGUCUGGACCAGGAGAGAAGUGAAGCAUUUAGGUUUGUUUGUUUGUUUGUUUGUUUGGCACCUGAGAGGGUAUAAAGGGCAUGGCUUCUGCUUUUUCUCCCCUUGCCUCUCAGUGUUCUGAAUACACUGAGAUGCUAGCUGUUGAUAUCUGUCCUUGGGUCGGCCUCCACAACAACAGAACAGCAAUGUCUUUGACUUUUGACAUGUGGAUAGACUCCUUCAUACUUUCUAAUCUCUAUAGGAAUUAUUUUUGAUGACUAUAUUUCUUAGCUUAUUUACUGUUUAAAUUUUUUCUCUUUAGAAAAAAAUGAGAAUAAGGAGGAAGGCGACCACUGCAAACAGUCAGCACAGCUCCAGCAAGCAUCGCCUGGGAAGCGGAGAAAGGAAACAGAAAGGAGCAAAAGGCAUGUGUUCUGAUGAUCUUCCAUCAUCAACUUUAUUUUAAAAAACUAUAUUUAGCUGAACUCUUGAAUGAAAGAAAUACAGGAGAAAUUUCUAAUUCAAAUCGCAAAUUCCAAUGUCGUUACUUUGAUGGGCACUUACACAUAUAGAGGUUGGGUUAGCACUAAGACUAAGUCCUUAACUUGGGAGGUCCCUAGAAUUUAAACUUUUGGGAGCUAUGGCAUGAUGUGACCUCAUGAAAUGGCUCCAAGUACAACCCCAUAAAGAUGGUGUACAAGACCCCCUGCUGUGUGUGCAAGGCACAUGUG
rnacentral:lncRNA from 1 species